UGGCAGGGAGUUGGAGUGCUGUCCUUCGCCUUGCUGAGUGGGAAUCCAGGAAGUUGUGUUCACGCUACAUCGCUGGAACAAUAGGACAGGGAGGAUUACAUUGUUUUAUGAUGUCUAUUCUUAAAAGCCCUGUUGUCGUAAUGGAAAAUCCUCAACCUCUGCUCCACAUCAGCUUUGGAAUGCUUUGAAGGACAACUGAUCCAUGAUUCCUUGCCACGGCAAAGGGCUUCAGUUUGGAACAACUGAUGGCUGCUCCCCCACUAAGUUCACAUUGCAUCAGCAGGUUUCCCCACCUUCUCCAAGGUUAUGUAAUCGCAGCAACCGUGAAAACCACUGGAAGAGAAGCUUUCAGAUGACAGUGCAUCGAUUUAGCAGUUGGGUAAACAAAGACAUGACAGCAAAGAGUCAUUUCACUUGAGG